UUUGCUCUGUGUAACGGUAAGCCAGUCAUUUCAUUUGUGAAUUGUGUCCAGUGUGAUUUUUAUGUUCAAUAUUCCCAGUGGUAAAAUAAAGUUUUAGUCAUGGUGCAAAUUAGAGCUAGAGAGAUGCUUCAUCUAGACUAUUUUACAGCAAAGUGCAGAAUAGUCAUUCAUGAGAAUAAUAUCUGUGAUUUUUUUUUCUCUCAGAAAUGGAAUGCCUGCAGUAAGAAAGUACAGUGCAAAGGAAGUGAACUCUUCCUGACUGCUGGAGGUUAACUUUGAAGAAGUGACUGACAACGCAGGCACCUGCGAGAGCGGGGCUACAACUCUGGCACCACAACUCCAAAGCAGAGGCCUCUGACACUUGAGUUAAAAGAAGACAUCUAUCAGACACUCUAUGAAAGAGUCUCCAAGUUCUUUCCAAUCUGCAGAAACAUCCAUACAAACUAAAGGGCAACGUGCCUACACACAAAGGGAGAUGCUAUCAUCAUCUGUCAGCUUGGAGCACCCUGCUGCCGCUUUGGCCUUAUAGCGAGUCUUGAUGGCACAGCGAGUGAAAGGCAGAAAGGAUGGAGAUGAGCUUGCAGGAGUGCAAGAAGGAGAUGGGAUGUGAUAGUGAAUCUCUGCUGAUGGUUUCAAGUUUGGAAGCUGGGCUGGGCUCUGUGCUAUAGCACAAGCAGCAGGAGUAGCUUGGUAUGUCUUCUUUUUCUCCCUCUCCUUCCUAGCUCUCUGCUCCAAAAUGCUGCUCUGAGAUACCGAAAGCUGACUCGACUGCUUUUGCAAAUAAUUUUGUCCCCCCUCACAAAUACUCAUGAGUUUUGACUUGGGAGGGGGGGAAGCUGUGGUGAAAGACCUCUGACCUUUACAGGCUGUUACCAGUACAGUUUUUCUUCUUUCCUUCAUUGAUCUCGAUCCCUUCCCCCACCUGCCAUGAGCAGCCAUGCCCCAAGGCACAGUUGCAGAUGAUCUACAGUGAAGGAACACAGUCAAACAGAAUGUAAACUGCCAUGAAUUUUAAAAUGAAUAUUCACAAAGAGUGACCCAGCUCUUAGGCUUAUUUAGUCAUAUCUUCAACUUGCUAAAAGGGACUAGGAUUUUAAAGGCAUUUAAAUGAUUAAAAAUCAAGUCAUUUGACAAUCCUCGUAGGUGUCUGCUUGCCCUACUUACUCCAGCACUUAAUUACUUUUAAAAAUCUGGCCAGCAGUG